UACGGAGGGUGCGAGCGUUGUCCGGCUUUAUUGGGUUUAACGGGUGCGCAGGUGGCCCGGUCAGUCAGUGGUGAAAUGCGGCCGCUCAACGGUCGAACUGCCAUUGAUACUGCCUGGCUUGAGAGGAGUGGAGGCCGCCGGAACGGACGGUGUAGCGGUGAAAUGCAUAGAUAUCGUCCAGAACGACGAGUGCGAAGGCAGGUGGCGACGCUUCGUCUGACACUGAGGCACGAAAGCGUGGGGAGCGAACAGG
rnacentral:rRNA from 1 species